UACGUAGGGUCCGAGCGUUGUCCGGAAUUAUUGGGCGUAAAGAGCUCGUAGGCGGUCCGUUAAGUCGGAAGUGAAAUCUCAAGGCUCAACCUUGAAAUCGCUUUCGAUACUGGCGGACUUGAGGCAGGUAGGGGAAGGUGGAAUUCCUGGUGUAGCGGUGAAAUGCGCAGAUAUCAGGAGGAACACCAAUUGCGAAGGCAGCUCGCUGGGACGUUACUGACGCUGAGACGCGAAAGCGUGGGGAGCAAACAGG
rnacentral:rRNA from 1 species